rnacentral:lncRNA from 1 species
UUAGGAUUUCAACAUAUGAAUUUGAGGGAGGGACAUAAACAUUCAGUCCACUGCAGUACGUAUGUGUUAAUCCCAACUUACAGGUCACACACAUGUGAGCUAUUGAAGGCGGAAGUUACAGCCUCAUGAAAAAAAUCCUGUGCUCCAAACAUUGGCCAAGUAGCAGGAGCUCUCCAUAGAUGGUGCUUUCUUUUCCUGUCCAGCCCAUGCCAGGAAGCAUCAGUGCUCCAUCUUCCACCACUGUCAUCAGGACACAAGAGAAAGCCUUGGUUCAUACCUCUACAUGGAUGAGUCAAAACCUAGACUUCAAGUGCAACUUCUCUGAGCACCAGACAGACACUCUCUACAGCCUGGGGAAUUUCUCAGGCCCAUGCAGGACACGGCAGAGCAGAAGUUCUACUUCAGCGAUAUCAGGUCUGGGAAGAAACUGCGUUUCACAGGCCUUUGUAAGACAUGUUCCCGGUAGGCUGUAAAACAGCAGUGCAGAGCAAGCUGUUUCUCAGCUGCCCAAAGAGCUGGAAGCCGGACGCUGCGGGGCCUCUCUGCCCUUGAGGACACGAGGCUGGACUUUCUCCCUUUGAGCUCUAGGCCCAUGUAGGACAUGGCAGAGCUGAACUUCUACUUCAGUGAGAUCAGGCCUGGGAAGAAACUGCGUUUCACAGGCCUUUGUAAACAUGUUCCUGGUAGCCUUGUAGGAGCCCUGUCCAGAGCGAGUUGUUUCUCAGCUGCCCAAAGAGCUGGAAACCGGACCUGAGGGACUUGCCUCCCCUUGUGGAAACAAGGCAGGACUUUGUGAAUUGCAGCUCUAGGGGCAAAUAGGACACGGCAGAGCAGAUAUUCUACUUCAGCGAGAUUAGGCCUGGGAAGAAACUGCGUUUCACAGGCCUUUGUCAGACAUGCUCCCGGUAGGCUUGUAAAAGCCCUGUGCAGAGUGAGCUAUUUCUUAGCUUCCCAAACAGCUGGAAGCCGGACGCUGUGGGACCAGUCUGCCCUUGAGGGCUAAAGGCAGAACUUUGUCCCUUUCAGCUCUAGGCCCAUGCAGGACACGGCAGAGCAGAAUUUCUACUUCACCGAGAUCAGGUCUGAGAAGAAACUGCGUUUCACAGGCCUUUGUAAGACAUGUUCCCGGUAGGCUGUAAAACAGCAGUGCAGAGCAAGCUGUUUCUCAGCUGCCCAAAGAGCUGGAAGCUGGACGCUGUGGGGCCUGUCUGCCCUUGAAGUCACAACGGAUUAGUUUGUCCCUUCAGCUCUAGGCCCAUGUAGGACACGGCAGAGCAGAAGUUCUACUUCACCGAGAUCAGGCCUGGCAAGAAACUGCGUUUCACAGGCCUUUGUAAGACAUGUUCCCUGUAGGCUUUAAGAGCCCUGUGCAGAGCGAGUUGUUUCUUAGCCUGCCAAAGAGCUGGAAGCCGGACGCUGUGGGACCAGUCUGCCCUUGAGGACACAAGACAGGACUUUGUCCCUUUCAGCUCU